rnacentral:rRNA from 1 species
AUUGAACGCUGGCGGCAGGCCUAACACAUGCAAGUCGAGCGGCAGCGGGAAAGUAGCUUGCUACUUUUGCCGGCGAGCGGCGGACGGGUGAGUAAUGCCUGGGAAUUUGCCCAAUCGAGGGGGAUAACAGUUGGAAACGACUGCUAAUACCGCAUACGCCCUACGGGGGAAAGCAGGGGACCUUCGGGCCUUGCGCGAUUGGAUAUGCCCAGGUGGGAUUAGCUAGUUGGUGAGGUAAUGGCUCACCAAGGCGACGAUCCCUAGCUGGUCUGAGAGGAUGAUCAGCCACACUGGAACUGAGACACGGUCCAGACUCCUACGGGAGGCAGCAGUGGGGAAUAUUGCACAAUGGGGGAAACCCUGAUGCAGCCAUGCCGCGUGUGUGAAGAAGGCCUUCGGGUUGUAAAGCACUUUCGGCGAGGAGGAAAGGUUGAUGCCUAAUACGUAUCAACUGUGACGUUACUCGCAGAAGAAGCACCGGCUAACUCCGUGCCAGCCGCCGCAGUAA